rnacentral:misc_RNA from 1 species
GAUGAAUAACGUAGCAAAAUGCGAUACUUGGUGUGAAUUGCAGAAUCCCGUGAACCAUCGAGUUUUUGAACGCAAGUUGCGCCCGAAGCCUUUUGGCCGAGGGCACGUCUGCCUGGGCGUCACGCAUCGCGUCGCCCCCCACAAUUCUCCGUAAAAGGAACAUGUGUUUUGGGGGCGGAUAUUGGUCUCCCGUGCUCAUGGCGUGGUUGGCCGAAAUAGGAGUCCUUUCGAUGGACGCACGAACUAGUGGUGGUCGUAAAAACCCUCGUCUUUUGUUUCGUGCUGUUGCUCGCAAGGUAAACUCUUUAAAAACCCCAAUGUGUCGUCUCUUGACGACGCUUCGACCGCGACCCCAGGUCAGGCGGGACUACCCGCUGAGUUUAAGCAUAUCAAUAAGCGGAGGA